rnacentral:lncRNA from 10 species
CACGUCUGUAGUGGUAAUGACCUAUGUCCAGAUUUCAGUAUAUCCUGGCCUGUCCUACCCUGGCAUAGUUGAGUCUUUAACAUCUGAACCUGGCACGAUGACGUCUUUGUGCCUGUGUGAGUCUGACUGUUUUUACUGGUGCUGUCACUGGGCAACUAUGACCCUUUGACAAUGUAAUCAUCAACCCACUGCAAGGAAACUUUCAGGGAGGAGCACAAGUCCUGGUAUGCUCUGAAAUCUGUCUACUCACAUCUCCUGUUAAUACCAAUAAAGUGCCAACAUCUGACCUGCAGGAGUGGUAAUUUCUGGGAAAGAAAUUCUGAAGACAAUAGUCGAGAAUCCUUUUCACAAAAUGCUGCCUGUUGAGAGCUGUGGAGUCCAGCAGGCUACCCACCAAAUCAGGAGCUGCCCAUCUGAGCCGCCCACUGUCGUGUGCACCAUCAACGGAAGAUGUGCUGCCUCUCUCCACAUGCAACCUACGUUCCAAAUGUAAAUUUGUAUGUGUGCAUCUGGUUGGGGAAAUCUAAAUCACACCCAGAAUGCCUCACUGCAAGGGACCCUGGGAAAUGCAGUUCUUAGAUGCUCACUAGAAAGGCUGAAGAACCCUAAGCCCACCAGCCCUCAGUGUGCAGGAUUUAGACACACAAUCAACAGAAAUACAGAAAUGCCCGUUUUAGCACCUCAUGUAAACCCUACACUUUUACAUUUCAUGUCAAUCCUCUAGAUAAUCUUUUUGUUGUUAUUGAGGCGGAGUCUUGCUCUGUUGCCCAGGCUGGCAUGGAGUGGUGUGAUCUUGGCUCACUGCACCCUCUGCCUCCUGGGUUCUGGUGAUUCUCCUGACUCAGCCUGGGAUUACAGGUGCAUGCCACUACACCUGGCUAAUUUUUGUAUUUUUAGUAGAGACAGGGUUUCAACAUAUUGGCCAGGCUGGUCUCGAACUCCUGACCUCAAGAGAUCCAUCUGCCUUGGCCUCUUAAAGUGCUGGGAUUAUAGGUGUGAGCCACCAUGCCUGGCCUCUAGGUAACCUUUUAUUUGAAGUUGAGAUUUGCCUUGAUUAGUACAAUGGUUCUUGCCCUCACUGGGCGUCAGAUUCACAUGGAUAACUUAAGAAGUACAGAAGACCGGGUCCCAAAUCCCAGAGAGCCUGAUUCACUCAGUCUGGGCAGGCCCAGGUCAUCCCUGGAUAAUUCCCAUAAGGACCCGGAAUGAGGAACACUGGGUUAGACAACACCGCAGUCACCCAGUAUCCUCUGCCUCCCGAAAGCUGUAGAACCUCGUAGACUUUGUAGAAGACUCUCAUUGAGCUCAGGACUGAAUUGCCGAAAAUACAUAACACAUCGUAAAAAAAGAUCUGAGAAAUGCUCCGAAGGCUGGAACAACACAUGCUCAUCACGAGCAAAGAGAAGUUGCACCAACAGUGGAGGACAUUUUAAUUAGCCAAACCUUAUGUAUAAAAAUGAAAAUGCAGCACUCAGCUGCCAAGUCAACUACUGAACAUUUAAAAGAGCUUAUUGAAACUUUAACAGUGACUUAAACAAAACAAAACAAACAAGUGAAAAUAAACAAAUGGCGGCUGGCAACACAUUGUGUCACAGAUGGAUGGGCUCCACCACGCUGUCCGAGAUUGAUGAUGAAGUGGCCCAGGAGGGACUUUAACCACGUUCGCAUUA